rnacentral:tRNA from 1 species
UAAAAGGUAAGCUAUUUUAAGCUGAUGGGCUCAUACCUCACUGAAAAAGAACUUCUUUCCUUUUGA